GUUGAGUGAGGCCUGAGACAGCAAUGUUUCGUUUAGCCUGGCGGUGGCCCUCCUUGUCUUCAAGAAGAGCAUCCGUGGCUAGCAGUGGAAGAUGGGGUUGGGCCCCAGGACUGACCAGGCAGUUCUGCCACCUUCUAGGGGUGUGAAAUUGGGAAGUAAUUCAAACUGUAUGUGCCUCGCAUUCCUUUUACGUAACAUGAGGGGAAUAGAAGUACCAAAGCGAUGCAGUUCAGUGGAGAAUUAAAUGAGAUAGUCACAAGUAAAAGGCGAGACACGGUCUUACUGCAUUGACCAGGAUGGUCUCAAACUCCUGGCUACAGGCUAUCCUCCUGCUUCUGUCUCCCAAAGUGCUAGGAUUACAAGCGUGAGCCACCAGGCCUGGCCCAAUUGCUUCUUAACAACUUACUAUUCUUUGUUCACUACAGUGUAUACAUAACUGACUUUUUCUUUGGAGCUUCAUUUUGUAAUGAAGGCUCUGGUCACAUGUAAGACUUGUAUUAAAUAAAUUUGCCUGCUGUUCUGUUAAUCUGUGUUAUGCUAAUUUAAUUCUUGAGCCCAGCUGGGUCCUGGAGAGGAUAGAGUGAAGUUUUGUGGCAGCUACAUAAGUCAAUGAAAUUGGAAACAGAAAAACAAUCUUUAAAAAUCAACAAAAUCAUAACCUUAUUCUUUGAGAAGAUCAAUAUAGUUUAUAAACCUUUCAACUGACUCACCCACAGGGAAAAAGAAGAAAACAAAAAUCAGGAGGGAGGGAACAUUAUUACAAAUUUUGCAGAUACUAAAAGGAUUAUAAGGGAACAUUACAAACAACUCUUUGUCCAUAAAUUCAUCAAUUUACAUGACAUGGAAUAUUGCUUGAAAGGCACAAACUACCAAAGCUCACUCAGAAAGAAUGGAUAACCUAGAUACUUGCGUGUAUGUAUGUGUGUGCAUACAUACAAUUUUUACACACACACACACAUAUAUAUAUAUGCACAGUUAAUUUUUUCUAUCUUUUGUAGAGAUGGAUUUUUACCAUGUUGCCUGGGCUGGUCUUGAACUCCUGGGCUCAAGCGCUCUGCCCACCUUGGCCUCCCAAAGUGCUGGGAUUACAGGCUUGAGACACUGAACUUGCCUGGCCUGAUAUAUAUUUCAAAACUGAUUUAAUAGAUAAAGCCUUCCAACAACAAUAAAAAAACCAAUAUUGAGAUGAAUUCAUUGGUGGAUUCUACUAAACAUUUAAAGAGUAAAGAUGUGAAUUUUAAAUAAACCCAGAAACAAAAAGAGAAGGGAACACCCACCCACCCCCAGCUUGUCUCAUGAGGCCAGCGUUAAUCGAUAAUACCAAACAAGACAAAGAAAUUACAAGGAAAGAAAACUACAGAUGAAUAUCCUUCAUGAACUAAGUGAAAAAAUCCUGAAUACAGUAGUCCCUUGGUAUCGGUGGGGAAUUGGUUCAGGGACCCUUAUGGAAAUCAAAAUCCGUGGAUGCUCAAGUCUGUUAUGUAAAAUGGCCAUAAUAUUCUCAUGUAACCUUUUCAUAUCACCCUGCAUACUUCAAAUUAUUUCUAGCCCUACACAAUAAAAAUGCCCUGUAAAUAGUUGUCAUACUAUAUUGCAUUUUUUAUUUGUGUUAUUUUUAUUGUUGUGUUGUUAAUUUGUAUUUUUUUCUGAAUAUUUUUGAUCCCUGUUUCAUUGAAUCUGUGGAUGCUUCUGUAGUAUCCACUGGCAUGAAGACCUAGAUGACAGAGACUGAAGUGACCACAGGACCUGGAAAGUGAGGGAAGAAAUCCUGGGAAAAAGAUAUCAAGCAAAGAAUUGCCCCUUAUUCUACAUUAAACUCUGCCCAAAUUUCAGACUGACUGACACCCAGAAUGUAUAAAGACUUGUACAAUUCAAUAUUAAAGAGCCCAACAUCUCAAUUAUAACGGGCAAAAUUUGAACAGUUACUUUACAAAGGAAGACAUACAAAUUGUUAAUAUAGCCUGUGAAGAAGUGUGACAUUAUUGGUCAUCAGGAAAAAGCAAAUGAAAACUGCAGAGAUACAACUACACAACCACCAGAAUGGCAGAUAUUAAAAAUAGUGAU